UACGGAGGGUGCAAACGUUGCUCGGAAUUAUUGGGCGUAAAGCGCACGUAGGCGGUCUGUUAAGUCGGAUGUGAAAGCCCGGGGCUCAACCCCGGAAGGGCAUUCGAAACUGACAGGCUAGAGUACGGAAGAGGGUCUCGGAAUUCCCGGUGUAGAGGUGAAAUUCGUAGAUAUCGGGAGGAACACCAGUGGCGAAGGCGGAGACCUGGGCCGAUACUGACGCUGAGGUGCGAAAGCGUGGGGAGCAAACAGG
rnacentral:rRNA from 1 species